rnacentral:lncRNA from 1 species
GCCCGCCCCCUCGUCCCCACUUCCUGCCCAGCUUCUAGCUAGCGAUCUGCGAUGCGGCACGGACUUUGUAAACACGCCGCGCCUGUGGGGUGGACGCCUGUUGUGUUUGGGUGCCGCGGAAGCGGGGUGCACGCCCCUGUCCUGUCCGUGCUGGCGGCUGUGAUCACGCCUACUGUCCAAAAACAGAUCUCCAGCAGCUGGAGAGAACGUGAGGCCGCCAUCCGAGCUUCGGGGGACUCAACUGCCAAGAGCCCUGAGCCCUGAAAGCUUCUGGAAGGAAGUUGUGGACCAGCAGACCUUCAGGAGGAGAAAGGAGAAGGAUGGCAGUGGAGAGGAUGCAGUGGUGGAUACUGAACCCUUGCUUGGUGCCCAGCAGGCAGAUGACCUCAUGCAUAUCCAUUGUCUUCUCUGUGCUGAAGCUCACUUGGGCUGAGGUGACAGCAGUCCCUCAGGGGUCAGUCCCUGUCUUCUUU